rnacentral:rRNA from 1 species
AACGAACGUUAGCGGCGCGCCUAACACAUGCAAGUCGAGCGAGAAAGGGGCAACCCCGGUAAAGCGGCGCACGGGUGAGUAACACGUAGGUAAUUUACCCCCAGGUGGUGGAUAACCUUCCGAAAGGAAAGCUAAUACAGCAUGAGACCACGUUCCCGAAAGGGGAUGAGGUCAAAGCCGGCCUCUGUACACAAGCUGGCGCCAGGGGAUGAGCCUGCGGCCCAUCAGCUAGUUGGUAGGGUAACGGCCUACCAAGGCGAAGACGGGUAG